rnacentral:rRNA from 1 species
CACGUAGGCGGACUGGAAAGUUGGAGGUGAAAUCCCAGGGCUCAACCUUGGAACUGCCUUCAAAACUAUCAGUCUGGAGUUCGAGAGAGGUGAGUGGAAUUCCGAGUGUAGAGGUGAAAUUCGUAGAUAUUCGGAGGAACACCAGUGGCGAAGGCGGCUCACUGGCUCGAUAUUGACGCUGAGGUGCGAAAGUGUGGGGAGCAAACA